UACGGAGGGUGCAAACGUUGCUCGGAAUCAUUGGGCGUAAAGCGCACGUAGGCGGCCCGGUAAGUCGGAUGUGAAAGCCCUCGGCUCAACUGAGGAAGUGCAUUCGAAACUGCUGGACUUGAGUACGGGAGAGGGAUGCGGAAUUCCCGGUGUAGAAGUGAAAUUCGUAGAUAUCGGGAGGAACACCAGUGGCGAAGGCGGCAUCCUGGACCGAUACUGACGCUGAGGUGCGAAAGCUGGGGGAGCAAACAAG
rnacentral:rRNA from 1 species